UAAAGUCAGGUCAAAACAAAUAAAAUAAAUAAUAUCAAUGUAAAUAAUAAUAAUAAUAAUAUAGUACAAUAAGUUCAAAGGUGCUUGCAAUAAGCAUUUGUUAUUUUAAAAGUGAGUACAAAGCAAUAAAGUUGGGUAUAUGAAUAAAUAACUAUAAAUAAAUAGUACAACAGAUAAGGUUAAAAUGUGUUAUGUUUUUUUUCCCAAAAAUACAUGCGUACUUUUUGAACGUGCAAUUCACAGUUUUGCCACCAGUUGCACCACGUGCCCGCAAGACGGGGCAAAAUAUCAGUAGUUUGCUGACAUUUGCAAAAGCAAAGCUUGUCAAUCUUUUCGGGUCAAGGGAAGACGGAAAACGUCCGUUAAAAUUAACUCCCAUGUGCAUUAUUAGCCAUAUUAUAUAUGUUGUUGAUUUUUGUGCUGCGGGAUCGUGUCAAAUUUCCCUUAAUUGGGCCGUUCAUUAUUCAUUUACAACAAAUAAUGUAUCUUUGUUCAUCUAUCUAUGCCAGUGAUGUAUAGUGACAGGCAGAACAAUUAAAUGUUUUGCCAUUAGAUGGCAAUUAACCUUUGUAUUCAGUUUUGUAACAUUUUUGCUUGGUGGUAUGCCAUGAGAUUUUCACACGCCCCCCCCCCCCCCAAUGUAAAACAUGUGCCUUGACUCAGUAAAUGUUGGGGAAAAAAAAUCUACAUUAUGUUGCUAAAUAAAGUGACCUAUAAUAUGAGCUCUUUUAUAAUGCAGGCGAUCGCGUAAUUUGGGAUCAGUCUCAACGCUUUGCAUAAUUAAACAGUAGCUUCAAUAAUACAUGACGCAAUGAAGCACUCCGGAAGGAUGGCCCUGCCCACCCGAAAGUUGACACAAUACUUUGGAGGCAGAUUAGAAACAUAGUCCAUCCCCUCCUGAGACAUAUUUGACAAAUUAAAGAUGCAAUAUAUUCAACAAUGAGCGCAACAAAACAACAGCUGGAUGUGGAGGUAGAAAAGCAAAUUGAUCUUCUGCACCUCGUUUGACUCAACUGUCUGCUGGAUGUUUUUUGCGUUGUGAAUAUGAUGAAUCCAUUUUAAUUCACCGAGAGCGAAAUUUGUUUGUACAGCAGGUGGAUUAAGACACUACAACACCCACAAGCCUCGGGCACAGCUAUAAAAGAGAAAAUAUUGACACAGAGCGGACGCUAUGGGUUGUUCCUUCUACAAACAUGCACAAAAGUGCUGAGACACACCUCUUGAGCCAUUAGGUAAUCAAUCAGGCGUUACACUUGGAACACUUACAAAUUUAUAUAUAUAUUUUUUUUACUUUUGCAUAAAUGCAUGUCUCUAUCACCUACAGUGGAUAUUUAAAAAAAAAAUAAUAAUAAUAAAAAAAUAAAAAUAAAAAGUCUACACCCAAGCAGGUUUUGUGAACGCAUGUUAAAUGGAAGUCAGCGCACAACUGCUGCCAUUUAAGGUACCUCAAAUAAAGUUCUGAUGUUCUAGUAGACCUUUCCUGACAUUUCUUUUUGUUUAACAGAAGCCUGAAGGCUUUGUGCUAACACAGACUGCAGUUUAAAACCGCAUUCCCUCCACCUCCGAUUCCAUCUGGAAAAAAACCGGCCCCAACGCAUGACGCUGCCACCAUCAUGCUUCACCGUAGGAAUGAUUUUCUUUUGCUGAUGAGCAGUGCUGAAUUUGUGUCAAACAUGCCUUUUGGAAUUUUUCCACAUGCGUGUGGGGGAUUUCAAGUGUGCUGUUGCAAAAUGUAGCCAGGUUCACAUGCCUGUCUUUGCACGAUAAGCCCAACCUGAAAAGGCAUGUGCGAGCAAGGCGGCCUACAAACUUGGCUUACAAACUCCGCUCCUGUCAGGAGGAAUAGGCCAACAUAUCUGCCAACUGUGGAAGGAUAUCCACAAAGUUUGACCCAAGUCAUACAGUUUAAAAGUAAUAGCACUAAAUACUACUGAAAUGUAUGUAAACUUCUGUUACUUCAAGAAAGUAAUACAAAAUGUCUUUUAAAAAAAAAUCAUUCUGUCAUUAUUUUGGCAUUUAGCGAACAGAAAUAAUUUUGGUAAUCGUAAUUGACAUAAAACAGGAAAAGUUUAGUCUGAUUUCAUGUCACAGUAAGAAAUCAAAUAAGUGUCUUUUUAUACACUGUAGCGUAUGUAAACUUCUGGUUUCAACGGUAUCUACCUAGCAACCUCUGCAUUAUACAUGCAAAAGCUAGCUUUCGUUGCGUUUAAUCGAAACUGUGAGACAACAAGACGAAUAUUGGUAAUGGCCAUUAGACGGUGCAGUAGAUAAGUGCACUGGCAAGCAGUUGUUGCAAAUGUAAACUCUUAACCCGACUUCGUUGCCUCUGGCCAUUUGAGUGUUUUACUAGAAAGCACGAGACGAGGCAAUGUGCACAGAGGUGGAAUGAACAGGAGUGGAGUAAGCGUAAAAGGCUCUUCCGCAAAGGUCCACAAUGGGAAUUUAUGACAGCUCCUGUGAAGGCAUACCAGCGGCUGACACUGCUUGUAAGUACCGUGUUCUGCAUAUACCGUGAUGUCAGCGUGUCGUAUGACAGAGGAGGAAACACACAAGAGCGACUGCAGUACGUUCACAAGGUCAAAGCUUCGCCAAGGUGAACCAAACAAGCUCACCAGUUGUGUCACUUGGCACUGGAGGUCAGGACAGGAAGUGUUGCGCAGCAAAAUUGAACCGGCAUGUGUUGUGUGCUCGAGAUUAUUUUGUGGGGUCUACUCAUAGAAGACAUGAUUGACAACCCAAUGUCAUUUUGCUCAGAGAAACGUCAUUCUUUCAUCCGCAUUAAGCAUCAAUCGGCUUCUACAGUCCAACCUCAAGAGAACGAUUAAAACUCAAAGGUCAAAGGCAAAGUCCCGAGGCUGAAAGGAAUGGUGCUAAACCGGCAUUAGGAAAACGAAAGAUAUGCGACCUGAGGUCAUCCCCAGUGAAGUUGAAAGUGUUUUCCUGGGUGAACGAGAGAGAGCAACUUCAAUCGAGAAGUCCUUUGAAGAAGUUUAAAGCAAACUAACGAACCCCCCUUCCAGCGCCAAAUACAGUCGGCCCAAUGCAGGCAGCUCGUGGACUGCGCGCUUUUUCCCCCCCCCCAGUGGAAAUGUUUGCUUCUUCUCUCAUCUAUUUCUGACCACCUCCCUCCUUUGAAAUGCGAUUGAUCGUCCUUGUGCAUGUUGGUAAUCAAUAGAGGCAGCCGCCAUCCUUAUUCCCGCGCUGUACGUUUCAAGCGAAAGGUGUUCAGCGGUGUUUCUUCUCACCCUCCAAAUCUACCAGCAUCACUUCUGUAUUGUUACGACACAUUUUAUUUAAGAGAGAAAAUCUUCUGUAUAACAGUUUUCUUUAAUAUCCUCCGCUGCCUAAUAUUCUUUUGAAUAAAUAAAAACAAAAACAUUGCAUUUCCAUGUUUCCAUUAUUUCCUAUGGGCAAGUGCACUGCAUUACGCAGUGAGAUGUUUCUAAUAUUUCGACCCGACAACCGACUGGCAACCGGUCCAGGUGUUCCCCGAUCCUCUCGCUCAAAGUUAACUGGGAAUUCAGAACUUGUUUUUUGUCAGGUCUCAUCUUGCGCAAAGAUCCCCUUGAAAACCAAAAACGUGCCACCACUCUGC